rnacentral:rRNA from 1 species
CCUGGUUGAUCCUGCCAGUAGUCAUAUGCUUGUCUCAAAGAUUAAGCCAUGCAUGUCUCAGUGCAAGCCACAUUAAGGUGAAACCGCGAAUGGCUCAUUAAAUCAGUUAUGGUUCCUUAGAUGGUGGACAGUUACUUGGAUAACUGUGGUAAUUCUAGAGCUAAUACAUGCAACUGAGUCCUGACCGGCGACGGAAGGGACGCUUUUAUUAGAUCAAAACCAAUCGGUCGCUCACGCGGCCGUUUGCCUUGGUGACUCUGAAUAAAUUGAGGCGGAUCGCACGGUCUCCGAACCGGCGACGCAUCUUUCAAAUGUCUGCCUUAUCAACUGUCGAUGGUAGGCUCUGCGCCUACCAUGGUUGUAACGGGUAACGGGGAAUCAGGGUUCGAUUCCGGAGAGGGAGCCUGAGAAACGGCUACCACAUCCAAGGAAGGCAGCAGGCGCGCAAAUUACCCACUCCCGGCACGGGGAGGUAGUGACGAAAAAUAACGAUACGGGACUCAUCCGAGGCCCCGUAAUCGGAAUGAGUACACUCUAAAGACUUUAACGAGUAUCCAUUGGAGGGCAAGUCUGGUGCCAGCAGCCGCGGUAAUUCCAGCUCCAAUAGCGUAUAUUAAAGCUGUUGCGGUUAAAAAGCUCGUAGUCGGACUUGUGUCCCACGCUGCCGGUUCACCGCCCGUCGGUGUUUAACUGGCACGCACGUGCGGACGUCCUGCCGGUGGCCCGAGCCGGCGCUCGCGGGUGAGGGGGCGGUAACGUCUCACACCCCGGGUCGUCUCGGGGAGGGCCUACACAAUCCCGUCGCGGUGCUCUUGACCGAGUGUCUCGAUGGGCCGGCACGUUUACUUUGAACAAAUUAGAGUGCUUAAAGCAGGCAGCAGCCGCCUGAAUACCGAGUGCAUGGAAUAAUAGAAUAGGACCUCGGUUCUAUUUUGUUGGUUUUCGGAAUCCCCGAGGUAAUGAUCAAAAGGGACAGACGGGGGCAUUCGUAUUGCGACGUUAGAGGUGAAAUUCUUGGAUCGUCGCAAGACGGACAGAAGCGAAAGCAUUUGCCAAGAAUGUUUUCUCUGAUCAAGAACGAAAGUUAGAGGUUCGAAGGCGAUCAGAUACCGCCCUAGUUCUAACCAUAAACGAUGCCAGCCAGCAAUCCGCCGAAGUUCCUCCGAUGACUCGGCGGGCGGCUUCCGGGAAACCAAAGCUUUUGGGUUCCGGGGGAAGUAUGGUUGCAAAGCUGAAACUUAAAGGAAUUGACGGAA